rnacentral:rRNA from 1 species
CAGCAGCCACGGGAAUACGGAGGGUGCAAGCGUUAAUCGGAAUUACUGGGCGUAAAGCGCACGCAGGCGGUCUGACAAGUCAGAUGUGAAAUCCCCGGGCUUAACCUGGGAACUGCAUUUGAAACUGUCAGGCUGGAGUCUUGUAGAGGGGGGUGGAAUUCCAGGUGUAGCGGUGAAAUGCGUAGAGAUCUGGAGGAAUACCGGUGGCGAAGGCGGCCCCCUGGACAAAGACUGACGCUUAGGUGCGAAAGCGUGGGGAGCAAACAGGAUUAGAUACCCCUGUAGUCCCUGUCUCUUAUAC